UUCCGGUUCCUGCCCCUCCUCCCCUCCAAAUGGCAUUCUGGGAGUUGUGGUUUUCAGCCUGGCAGCUUGGUGUGCGGGAGCCAGUGGGAGGCUUUGCCUUCCACCCGCGCUGGCAGUAGGGAGCUGCCUACCGCCCAGACCAGGAGCUCUUGAAGACAGGAUUCUUAUCCAGUUAUUUACAUCACAUCCAUAAUCCCACAUCAGGCAUCAUCUGCAAUGGGUGUAACAAAUGUUUGUCUAAAGAAACGGAUCAGCCAAUAUUAUGGUAUUUACAAGAGAAAAAGGACGCAGCAUUCAGUCAAUUUGAGAUAAAGCAUAGAGCCACCCACGCCUGGAUGUGGGUCACCAGGCAACUAAGGAAC